GGGGCAACGGCCACCACUCUCUGGAACGCUUGUGCUGGACAUGUGCACUUUUGACCUUAGUAGAAUAAUUGCUAUGUUUGCAGAGGGGAGAUGACAGCAAAGACACCAGGGUGUUGUCGAGAGCGAAGGAACAUGGCAGGCAGAUGAUCCAGGGCAGGAGAGAAGAGACUAGGUCCGUGUCCAGGCGAGGGUCGAGGAAGGCAGUCCAAAACACCGGGGAAACAACGGGAGAUCUCAAGGUACUGUGGGAGAGCAACACGGACGUCAGAAAACAUGGAGGGAAAAACGCAGAGAGGGAGCAUAAGGCUUACGGUACACAAAGAGGUGUGCAGAAUGCCGAUUGUCUGCAGGCUUGUCGCUGCGUGGGCGUGUUGCGCUCAGCGUGAGCGGGGGCGUGUCCGGGAGAGCAGCCAGAGGAGGAACUGUGACACUCAGUUGCAGGAGGGCAGCGGGUUCGAGUCCACGCCGUGACAAUAAUCCUCUAAUUCUGUGACCAAAUACAAACACAUGCUAGUUAACAAUCAUAUAAGAAAAUGCUACAUGGUAUA